rnacentral:rRNA from 1 species
UACGUAGGCAGCAAGCGUUGUUCGGAGUUACUGGGCGUAAAGGGUGUGUAGGCGGUUGUUUAAGUUUGGUGUGAAAUCUCCCGGCUCAACUGGGAGGGUGCGCCGAAUACUGAAUGACUAGAGUGUGGGAGAGGUGAGUGGAAUUCCUGGUGUAGCGGUGAAAUGCGUAGAUAUCAGGAGGAACACCGGUGGUGUAGACGGCUUACUGGACCAUAACUGACGCUGAGACACGAAAGCGUGGGUAGCAAACAGG